UACGUAGGUGGCAAGCGUUGUCCGGAAUUAUUGGGCGUAAAGCGCGCGCAGGCGGCCUUUUAAGUCUGAUGUGAAAGCCCACGGCUCAACCGUGGAAGGUCAUUGGAAACUGAAAGGCUUGAGUACAGAAGAGAAAAAGCGGAAUUCCACGUGUAGCGGUGAAAUGCGUAGAGAUGUGGAGGAACACCAGUGGCGAAGGCGGCUUUCUGGUCUGUAACUGACGCUGAGGCGCGAAAGCGUGGGGGAGCAAACAGG
rnacentral:rRNA from 1 species